UACGAAGGGGGCUAGCGUUGUUCGGAAUUACUGGGCGUAAAGCGCACGUAGGCGGACAUUUAAGUCAGGGGUGAAAUCCCAGAGCUCAACUCUGGAACUGCCUUUGAUACUGGGUGUCUUGAGUAUGGAAGAGGUGAGUGGAAUUCCGAGUGUAGAGGUGAAAUUCGUAGAUAUUCGGAGGAACACCAGUGGCGAAGGCGGCUCUCUGGACCACUACUGACGCUGAAACACGAAAGCGUGGGUAGCAAACAGGG
rnacentral:rRNA from 1 species